rnacentral:rRNA from 1 species
GAGUUUGAUCCUGGCUCAGAUUGAACGCUGGCGGCAUGCCUUACACAUGCAAGUCGAACGGCAGCACGGGAGCUUGCUCCUGGUGGCGAGUGGCGAACGGGUGAGUAAUGCAUCGGAACGUAUCCUGGAGUGGGGGAUAACGUAGCGAAAGUUACGCUAAUACCGCAUAUUCUGUGAGCAGGAAAGCGGGGGACCUUCGGGCCUCGCGCUCUUGGAGCGGCCGAUGUCGGAUUAGCUAGUUGGUGAGGUAAAGGCUCACCAAGGCGACGAUCCGUAGCAGGUCUGAGAGGAUGAUCUGCCACACUGGAACUGAGACACGGUCCAGACUCCUACGGGAGGCAGCAGUGGGGAAUUUUGGACGAAUAGGGGGCGGAACCCUACGAGUCCACGCCACUGCCGCCGUGAGU